ACAGAGCAAGAGCAAGAGAGUAGAGAACACAAUUUUAUUUAUAUAUAACUAGAUCUUGAUAUAUUGUUUGUUUUAUUUUUUUCUGUAUAAUUUUUUGUAAAUAGCUUAAAAAAUUAUAUAUGUUUUUUACCUCUUCAUCGUGAAGUUUAUGUAUGCAGGAAAAACAAUAAUUUUCUAUAUGCAAGAAGAACAUCCAAGAUAAACUCUCUAACUCCCCUCUCUCUCUAAAUCCUCUCAAAAAACAAAACCCUAUUUCGUUCUUUGCCGUGGUGGCCGGCGGCGCUCCUCCUUCUCUAUAGUCACCGGUCGCCCACCCCUCUUUUCUCUUUUCUCCCUUCGCCGCUCCUCUCCCUCCUCUGCUUUGUUUCCUUUCUCGGUGGUUCUGGGUUUUCGCGUCUCCGUGCGGAAUAGAUCUGGCGCGUCGGACUUGGAAUCCCGG
rnacentral:lncRNA from 1 species